AUUGAACGCUGGCGGCAGGCCUAACACAUGCAAGUCGAGCGGAGGAAGGGAGCUUGCUCCUGGAUUCAGCGGCGGACGGGUGAGUAAUGCCUAGGAAUCUGCCUGGUAGUGGGGGAUAACGUCCGGAAACGGGCGCUAAUACCGCAUACGUCCUGAGGGAGAAAGUGGGGGAUCUUCGGACCUCACGCUAUCAGAUGAGCCUAGGUCGGAUUAGCUAGUUGGUGGGGUAAAGGCCUACCAAGGCGACGAUCCGUAACUGGUCUGAGAGGAUGAUCAGUCACACUGGAACUGAGACACGGUCCAGACUCCUACGGGAGGCAGCAGUGGGGAAUAUUGGACACUGGGCGAAAGCCUGAUCCAGCCAUGCCGCGUGUGUGAAGAAGGUCUUCGGAUUGUAAAGCACUUUAAGUUGGGAGGAAGGGCAGUAAGUUAAUACCUUGCUGUUUUGACGUUACCAACAGAAUAAGCACCGGCUAACUUCGUG
rnacentral:rRNA from 1 species